rnacentral:lncRNA from 1 species
GAAGAUUUGAGUCUUAGUAUAAAGAAUGAAGAUGGAUUGUCAAGGGGAAAAAUACAUAAUCCAAAAGAGUGUAGAAAAUCAUAUGGAAAUAGGGGAAGAAAAUAAAUUAGAGGAUCACAAAAGCAAAAAAAAAAAAAAAAAAAAAAAAAAACAUGUAACGAAAUUAAAGGCUUCCAAGGAAGUAAUAAACCGCCAUAGAGAAAAAGAUAAGAGACCAAAAUAUUCCAUGAAAGUCAUCCCUGAUACAUUAGAUUCAAAAGGAAGAAGGAUAAA